UUAAGUAUAACUUUUUCUUUUUUAACAGAUGUCACAGGCCCAAAUGCCUGCAGAGGCCAAGUGGGUGACAUAAAGGAGAGAAGCUGGGCAAAUGGAGACAUUAACAAGAGGAAAGAGAAAGAGAAUUUGGAGGACAGGACACUCCGUGCCAAGAGAAGCAACUUCCCUUGCCUGCUGAUCCACAUUAGAGCAGGCAGGAGAAGAAAAAGAGAGUGGAGUGCUUUCAAAGACAGAGACCAUCUCAUGUGCCAUUUUUUAAAAUAAUAAAUUUAUUUUUUAUUGGUGUUCAAUUUGCCAACAUACAGAACAACACCCAGUGCCUUUUUUUUUAACUGCCUGUGACUCUUAGUACAACAGUAAGGAUGCCAUAAAAACAGAAAGACAAUUUUUAAACUAAGUUGAGAAAAUGUAGAUUAUAAUUCUUAUAAACUCUAUAUUGCAACUUCCAGAAAUUUAGCUUCUAUAGUUUCUAAUGCACUCUCAUAGAAGGACCAUGAGGCAGAGAGGUAUUACUUACUUUACACCCAUCAUUUCUUCUGGAGACACAGAAAAGAACAAGUUUGUUACCAUAGGUCCAAGAACUAGACCCCUUCAGAUCCAAUUUGUUCUCUCAAAAUCUACAUGGUUAACUGGAUUAAAAAUGAAUUCCCAUAAA